CACGAGGUAGUUUAUCUUAAACACCUAGCUUACAAUUAGGAAUUGCCCCCUUGAGGCCCUCAUGA
rnacentral:tRNA from 1 species